rnacentral:misc_RNA from 1 species
GAUGAAGAACGUAGCGAAAUGCGAUAAGUAAUGUGAAUUGCAGAAUUCAGUGAAUCAUCGAAUCUUUGAACGCACAUUGCGCCCGCCAGUAUUCUGGCGGGCAUGCCUGUUCGAGCGUCAUUUCAACCAUCAAGCCCUGCUUGCGUUGGGGUCCUGCGGCUGCCCGCAGGCCCUGAAAACCAGUGGCGGGCUCGCUAGUCACACUGAGCGCAGUAAUACAUCUCGCUUUGGGCGUGCGGCGGGUUCUUGCCGUUAAACACCCCCUUUUUACCAAGGUUGACCUCGGAUCAGGUAGGAAUACCCGCUGAACUUAAGCAUAUCAAUAAGCGGAGGA